UCUAAGGUGGCAGAUAAGUGCAUUGGGCCUAAGCCCCAAAUAUAAGAAUAAUUGUCUUCCUUAGAA
rnacentral:tRNA from 1 species